UCGUCAAGGGGUGGGCUGGCCUCAUUGCAACCUCAUCCUACCUGGCUGGCCUACAGCACUAAGUCUGGCAGGGCUCAGAGAAGGAAGCUUCCAAGUGGACUUCAUGCAUCUGAAAAGGAGCCACUCUGGGAGCCGCCUCGGAGGCAGCUCUUCUCACUACCUAGGUAACAGCGCUGUCAUCUAUGGCUCAAAGCCACUCACCAGGGAGUUGCUGCAGACCUGUAUGUAUCCUUAUACAGAGAAACAGAGAGAGGCUACUGAGGACCUAAGCCGGUGCCUCAUGGAUAAGGAAACUCCAUGGAAGUUAGAGCUGCCCUGUAAUUUGCAUCCCCCAUAUCUUAGAAACCAGAAUGAAAGGCCUACAGCAGAGACUGAAGAGAGGAAGGCUCAUCACUUGGACCACCAAAGAAAGGUCUCAAGAUCCCUCUGCUAUGGUUAAAUCUAGUCAAGCAACCCAUCCCGGUGCUACUGUGGAAUUCCUGCAAGAGGCAGAAGGCGGUUCAGAGUCAUCAAAGCCAUUUUUACAAGGUAGACAUAGGACUGGGGGAUUAAAGGCUUUCAUGGCCUCACUUGCCAACCUGCCUCCCCCCCCCCCCCCCAAGGCUCUGGGUGAGUACCUAUUAACUUCUCUCCACUCUCUAAUCCCAAAUCCAUCUCCACUUUGCAUAUCGACAUGAAAGCCAAUGGCGGUGCUGGCUAAGGUCAGACAACUCCAAGGAAAAGGCCUCAGGGGCAGGCAGAUAGGGAGCCAGGUGCUGGGAAAGGCAAUAGGAGAAACCUCAAGCUGGGCUUUAGUCUACCAGCGACUCCCUCCCCUACUGCUGCCAGUGCCUGAGGCACCAGGGCAGUUUGUAUCUUCUCAAGGUGUAUCCCCAG
rnacentral:lncRNA from 1 species